GUCCCAAGUCGGGCUCCCUGCUCAGCAGAGAGCCUGCUUCUCCUUCUCCCUCUGACCCUCCCCACUCGUGCUCUCUCUCUCUCUCUCUCAAAUACAUAAAAUCUUAAAAAAAAGAACUAGCUUUUAUGCAUAUAUGUACCAGCCACAAUACUGGGUAUAUUUAGCGCUUUUAACAUUUCCAGUUGAUCCACACUAUUACUCUCCCCAUUUUAAAGAUGACAAGCUGGAUGUUAAUAUUCAGCAGCUGAAUAUUAACUGAGUAUUGAGUCAGGAUUUCUACUCGGUACCGGCUGGGUUUUCAGUUACAAUACACGACGAGCAUUCUUCACUGGGCGACUGGUCCCAGCCAAUGACGAUUUAUGUCAUUUACUGAUUCCAUAGACAUUUCCCGUAAAUCAUUUUAUGUAUAAGGUAACUUGGGGAAGGAGGAAAGAGAAAGUAAUUCAGAUGCAGAAAGACAUGGGUUUGAGACCACGUGAAAUCCACGAGCCCAAACUCUUCCCUCUGUAAGUAGUGAUUUCUUCCUUCAGUAUCCGCCGGCCGUGCAGGUGGCCACGGUCCUGUGAGGGUGAGUGCCGCCACCCCCCAUCCCCGACCCCGCGGUGGGUCUCGCGGAGCACCGCAUGAUGCCAAUCUAGUUACCACAGUGACCAGGACUGACACGUUUAUCCAUCUCCCAUUUUAAAAUUUUAUUAUGGAAGAUAACACAAGAAUUUUAUGUCUUUUCGGAUCCAGAAAAACCAUCAGAAAUCACUUUUCAGAGAACGGGUAAUAAGACAACAAUGAAUUUGUCCCCUUGAUCCCACGUGACUUGGAGCUUUAAUGGUCUUCAGGAAAUGCUCAGCAAACUUUCCUUUUGAAUCAUUCACAGCCAUUUUAGAUGAUAAAAUUUAAAACUUUCUAUUAUGGAGACUAGUGAAGUUAGUAUAAGAUACGGUUAAUACAGUUAAGAAGAUGGUAUAAGGACCCCGUCUAUCGCCAUCUAGUGUCGACAAGUAACAAAUACGUUUAUAAGCCACUGAUGCUCCCAGAUGACAUUAUUUCACGCCCAUAUAAUUAUGCGAUUAAUGUUUCAUAAGCCCUGAAACUGUAUCUCAGGCCUGAUGGCCCUGUGCAUUUCCUUAUCUCUCUAAAAUAGGAGGGUUCUGUUUUUCUCCCCUUGAGUGUCAAGGAGUUUUUAAGAGUAAAAAGUAAAGGGUGAGUAAGAAAUACAACUGAAUUGAAACUUGUUAUUUCCACCUAAAAACAUAUUAAGCUGUUUUCAAUAAGAAAAAAAAUUCCCUUGGGGCGCCUGGGUGGCUCAGUCGUUAAGCGUCUGCCUUCGGCUCAGGUCAUGAUCCCAGGCUCCCGGGAUCGAGUCCCGCAUCGGGCUCCCUGCUCAGCGGGGUGCCUGCUUCUUUCUCCCUCUGCCUCUGCCUCUCUCUCUCUGACUCUCAUGAAUAAAUAAAUAAAACAUUCAAAAAAAAAAAAGAAAAGAAAAAAAAAUCCCUUUUAAAAAGAGGAUACUCAUGUUUCUGAUUUUCUGAUACAUUUUUUUCCUAACGAAGGCUGGUUUCUUUUUAAGAUAUAAAACCCGUUUGGUUUUAUCUUUGAGAAAUAAACGGUAUUUUUGACUUGCUGAGAAUUUUCUUAAAAAUGAAAAUAACCAUGUUUUGGUUACACAGCAGUAGGUGUUAGUUUUAAAAAUAUCUCGACAAUAUAUACAAAUAUGAAGGCCAUCUACAAUCAAUCAUAUGCUGUGAGAAAAACACCGUGCGUGACCUCAUGGUUCCCUUUUAUGCAUAUGCACUUUUCAAUUUUAUUGUUUUAUUUUCCUUCCAUCCUCUUCCCACCCAGGUAACCAAUGGCAACAAACUGGUAGGUGUCGCUCCCUAGCGUUCUCCAUUUUAUCAUAUUGUGUGUGUGUAUACAAAUUUAAUGAGUUUUUAAUACCUUUAAUUAUUUGAACAGAGCAUGCAUAAUACAUUCAUCUGGCCCCAAAAUGAAGGAGCACUCCAAGGCAGACUGGUGAAAAGUCACCCCCUCCGUGCAGCUCCAGCCUCUCCCCAGUGGUGCUGAAUGCUAUUCCACCCUCUGGAUGGACCAGUGGACCAAAGUUGCAACUCCUUUGUUGUAAAUACCAUGGAGCACAAUUGCUGGAUCCUGUACUAAGAGAGAGACGGAACACAAGCAGGGGGAGUGGGAGAGGGAGAAGCAGGCUCUCCGCGGAGCAGGGAGCCCAAUGCAGGGCUCGAUCCCAGGACCCUGGGACCAUGACCCUGGGACCAUGACCCUGGGACCAUGACCUGAGCCAAAGGCAGACGCUUAACGACUGAGCCACUCAGGCGCCCCUAAGGUAUGUUAGUUUUGUCAGCAACCACCCAACUGUCUUGCAAAGAGGUUGCUCGAGUUUGCAUUUGCCCCUGCUGUGGAGAAGACUUCCGUUGCCUUGGAUCAUGCUGGGAAGUCCUAGUCGUCUGAGCCGUAGUCACUGCUCAGCAAAGCAGUUUUGUUAAAUUACAUUUCCUUUGGAAAAUAAAUACUUCACUGAGAUCUGCUUUAUUUCCAUACAUUUAAGCAAAUUGUUCUCUCCAAUUUAAUUUUCUUUCUGCAGUUAAUUCUCCUUUAUCAUUUAUUUUACAUUUGAACAUUCUCUUACUGUUCUUAGGUUGAAAAAUAGAGGUUCUUAAGAUUGCUCUCACAUUUUUUAUGUUUAAUACCCCCCCUCCCUCUUCAUUAGUUCCUUUCUUCUUUACUUGGAACUGUUGGGAUCCUUUUCUAAUUUCUUUAAUUUCAGCCUUAAACAUUUGAAAACAUUAAUUCUUAUUUGUUAACAAAUUACAUUAGACCACACACUUUUAUCUGACCAAUGCUUUGCUUAUUUGAGCUGCUUCUGUAUCAAAGUGUCACUUUCUACGUAACGUGAAAUUUUAUUUUAUGUGCUCUUUCAAUAUUCAGGAUAGGUUUUCAAACAGUUCCCAAAUGGUGUGUUUUGCUUCACCCCCAGCUUCACUGAGCUGUAACUGACACACCGCACUGCCUAAGUCUGAGGUGUCCAGCGCAUGACUGAGCGGGCCGGUAUGUUGUGAAACGGGGAGCAGUCACCCCACGUGAUUACCAUUUGUUGUUGUUGCUAUGGCGACAACAUCCAGGAUCUACCCUCUCAGCAACUUUCGAGGACACAGCGCAUUGUUGCGUGUUGUCACAUGCUGUACACUGGAUGGCCGGGACUUACUGUCCCUACCCCGGGAGUGGGGACUGUGUGCCCUCUGACCUGCGCCCCCUGCCGCGCCCCCCCGCCCCCCCGCCCGCAGUGGUCACUCUUCUCCUCUUUGUUCCUCACUACAUUCUUCUAUUUGCAAAGCUGUCCUUUCUCCUAGUCCUCCAGUGAGACACACUUUAAAAUUCAUCUUCUACUUUUAACUUUCUCCAUGUGUAUCCCUUUAGACAGAUGGGAUGUUUUUCUCCAUUUUACGUUUUAGUUGGUUAUGGGUAACAUACAGAAAAAACAGUGGUUUUUUUUAGUGGUAGUUAUCUUGAAUCCCACUGCUUUAACACACUCAUUUGACACAUCUUUUGCUUUUUCUGGGUACUCAGUCACAUUUAGCAAAAAGAGACUGUAUUAUGAUGUUCCUAAUAUUUAUAUUGAUUUUUUUUGUUUUCUAUUUUUGGAUCUGCUGGAAACACUAAUAAAUUUGGACA